UCGCACUUCGAAAGCG
rnacentral:rRNA from 1 species